GAUGAACGCUGGCGGCGUGCCUAAUACAUGCAAGUCGAGCGAACAGACGAGGAGCUUGCUCCUCUGACGUUAGCGGCGGACGGGUGAGUAACACGUGGAUAACCUACCUAUAAGACUGGGAUAACUUCGGGAAACCGGAGCUAAUACCGGAUAAUAUGUUGAACCGCAUGGUUUAAUAGUGAAAGACGGUUUUGCUGUCACUUAUAGAUGGAUCCGCGCCGCAUUAGCUAGUUGGUAAGGUAACGGCUUACCAAGGCAACGAUGCGUAGCCGACCUGAGAGGGUGAUCGGCCACACUGGAACUGAGACACGGUCCAGACUCCUACGGGAGGCAGCAGUAGGGAAUCUUCCGCAAUGGGCGAAAGCCUGACGGAGCAACGCCGCGUGAGUGAAGAAGGUCUUCGGAUCGUAAAACUCUGUUAUUAGGGAAGAACAAAUGUGUAAGUAACUAUGCACGUCUUGACGGUACCUAAUCAGAAAGCCACGGCUAACUACGUG
rnacentral:rRNA from 1 species